CCUACGGGAGGCAGCAGUGAGGAAUAUUAGUCAAUGGGCGCGAGCCUGAACCAGCCAAGCCGCGUGAGGGAGGACGGUCCUACGGGUCGUAAACCUCUUUUGCCGGGGAGCAACGGGUGUGACGCGUGGCGCCACUGAGAGUACUCGGAGAAAAAGCAUCGCCUAACCCCGUGCCAGCAGCCGCGGUAAUACGGAGGAUGCGAGCGUUACCCGGAUUUUUUGGGUUUAAGGGGGGCGUAGGCGGCUUGUUAAGUCAGUGGUCAAAUUGAGGGGCUCAACCCCUUCCCGCCGUUGAAACUGGCGGUCUUGAGUGGGAGAGAAGUAUGCGGAAUGCGUGGUGUAGCGGUGAAAUGCAUAGAUAUCGCGCAGAACCCCGAUUGCGAAGGCAGCAUGCCGGCUUCCGACUGACGCUGAGGCACGAAAGCGUGGGGAUCGAACAGGAUUAGAUACCCGGGUAGUC
rnacentral:rRNA from 1 species